rnacentral:rRNA from 1 species
UACGGGGGGUCCAAACGUUAUCCGGAAUCACUGGGCGUAAAGCGCAUGUAGGUGGUUUGGUAAGUGGACGAUUAAAGACCGAGGCUUAACCUCGGGACUGUUGUCCAUACUGCCUGACUUGAGAAAGACAGGGGCAAGUAGAACUUUAGGUGUAGGGGUGAAAUCCGUAGAUAUCUAAAGGAAUACCAAUGGCGAAGGCAGCUUGCUGGGUCUUUUCUGACACUGAGAUGCGAAAGCGUGGGGAGCGAACGGG